GACGAACGCUGGCGGCGUGCCUAAUACAUGCAAGUCGAACGCAGUGGGGACGGGUGAGUAACACGUGGGUAACCUCCCAUCAGAGGGGAUAACACUUGGAAACAGGUGCUAAACCGCUACUGAUUGAUGGACCCGCGGUGCAUUAGCUAGUUGGUGGGGUAACGGCUCACCAAGUCCAAGAUGCCUAGCCGACAUUAGGGGGUGGUCGGCCACAAUGGGACUGAGACACGGCCCAGACUCCUACGGGAGGCAGCAGUAGGGAAUCUGCGGCAAUGGACGAAAGGCUGACCGAGCAACGCCGCGUGAGUGAAGAAGGUUUUCGGAUCGUAAAACUCUGUUGGUAGGGAAGCGGUAUCUAACCAAAAAGCCCCGGCUAACUACGUGCCAGCAGCCGCGGUAAUGC
rnacentral:rRNA from 1 species